CAGGCUCCUGAAACCGCAAUUCAGGGAGAACAGCAGCUAAAAUGUGGCAUCGAUUAUCUCCAACUGAACCUGUGUCUGAGGGGGAAGAUUUUCUAAUGGCUGGUGUUGAGGCCUUAGCUGAUGACCUAGAUUUGGAUCCUUUUGAAGAAAGUUUCAAAUCCAUGGAUCUAGCUACGGAUGCAGUCCAAAUUGAUGAGGACCAAGCAAACAACUUACUCAACAGUGUGCUGGGAUCCUAAAGGGAAUUUCCAUCCUACUUGUGUGGCUGAAGGACAUCUUCAACCAAUUUUGGUACAUCUGCCAGAAAGCACAACAUUGUGAUAUGUUUAAUGACAUGUGGGUGGGUGUGCUUCACCAUGUCACAGGGAAGCAUGAAUGGACCCGUGGCAAAUGUGACCAUGGACCACUUGAUGCAACGACCAGUGAUAAAGAGCUCAUGGUGCCAGGAUCUCCACCACACGAGGCUCUUCAACGAAUCAUGUUCAACGGACGCUGGUUGAAGGAUGUCACCAAUCUGACCUUCAGGUAUAUUAAUAACAUUUUCAUAAGCAAAAAAGCUAAAGUGUCAAUAUCAAAGCUGACAAUUUACAUAUAGAAAUGACAAUUGUGGGUGAAAAGGCAAUCAAAGGUGUGAUUCCUAAUAAUCUAUAAAGUUGUAGCUUUUGUUUUUUUACAGGUCAACUUCAGAACUGGAGAGUUUCCAGAACUGCAUUCUCAUGUAAUCUA